rnacentral:rRNA from 1 species
AUUGAACGCUGGCGGCGUGGAUUAGGCAUGCAAGUCGAGCGAGAACCCGCAAGGGGGACAGCGGCAAACGGGGUAGUAAUGUGUCGGAACGUGCCCUCUGGACGGGGAUAGCGGCGGGAAACUGCCGGUAAUACCCGAUGAACUCGAGAGAGCAAAGGUGUGAUUCCGCCGGAGGAGCGGCCGACAUGGUAUUAGCUAGUUGGCGGGGUAACGGCCCACCAAGGCUGUGAUGCCUAGGGGAUGUGAGAGCAUGAUCCCCACCAUUGGGACUGAGACACUGCCCAGACACCUACGGGUGGCUGCAGUCGAGAAUCUUCGUCAAUGGGCGAAAGCCUGAACGAGCGACGCCGCGUGCGGGAUGAAGGCCCUUGGGUUGUAAACCGCUGUCGAGGGGGAUGAAGGCCUUCCGGUACUCCGGAAGGUUUGACAGAGCCCUGGAGGAAGCACGGGCUAAGUUCGUGCCAGCCGCCGCCGUAACAC